rnacentral:rRNA from 1 species
UUCCGGUUGAUCCCGCCGGACCUGACUGCUAUCAGAUUGAUACUAAGCCAUGUUAGUCAUUGUAGUAAUACAAGGCAGACGGCUCAGUAACACGUAGUCAACCUAACUUAUGGACGGGGAUAACCUCGGGAAACUGAGAAUAAUAUCCGAUAGGUCAUGAUGCCUGGAAUGGUUUAUGACUCAAAUAAUUUAUUGCCGUAGGAUGGGACUGCGAGCUAUCAGCUUGUUGGUGAGGUAAUGGCCCACCAAGGCUAUUACAGCUACGGGCUCUGAGAGGAGUAGCCCGGAGAUGGGUACUGAGACAAGGACCCAGGCCCUAUGGGGCGCAGCAGGCGAGAAAACUUUGCAAUGCGCGAAAGCUCGACAAGGUUAAUCUGAGUGGUUCCUGCUAAAGGAACCUUUUGUUAGUCGUAGAACCACUGAUGAAUAAGGGGUGGGCAAGUUCUGGUGUCAGCCGCCGCGGUAAAACCAGCACCUCAAGUGGUCAGGAUGAUUAUUGGGCCUAAAGCAUCCGUAGCCUGUUCUGUAAGUUUUCGGUUAAAUCCAUAAGCUCAACUUAUGGGCUGCCGAAAAUACUGCAGGACUAGGGAGUGGGAGAGGUAGACGGUACUCGGUAGGAAGGGGUAAAAUCCUUUGAUCUAUUGAUGACCACCUGUGGCG